UAUCCUAAAUCCCGUUAAAAAUAGUUCGCUUUACUACUGCAUGGCGCAACGAUCUUCCUAGUAGCUCCAUUCCCGGAAGACGCGUUAUUCUCGGCCAUUUCGCUUGCGACUUUGAUGGUCUUCGGACGUUGCACUUGUGAGAGCAAGACGUAACGUUCAAUAAUCAUGGUUAACGGUAGAAUACCGUCAGUCUUUUCGAAGACCUACGUGACACCCAGGAGACCUUAUGAGAAGGCUCGUCUUGAUCAGGAGUUACGGAUUAUUGGUGAAUAUGGUCUGCGUAACAAGCGUGAAGUAUGGAGGGUGAAAUACACCCUGGCCAAAAUCCGUAAAGCUGCUCGUGAGCUGCUCACGUUGGAGGAGAAAGACCCAAAGCGUCUUUUCGAAGGAAAUGCAUUGUUGCGAAGAUUGGUGAGGAUCGGAGUAUUGGAUGAAAAUCGAAUGAAGCUCGAUUACGUCCUUGGUCUUAAGAUCGAAGAUUUCUUGGAGAGGCGUCUUCAGACUCAGGUCUUCAAGCUUGGUCUGGCAAAGUCUAUCCAUCAUGCUCGCGUUCUGAUUCGUCAGAGACACAUUCGAUACCGGGAUGGCUUACCAGGUUGAUUCCUUCGUCCAUUUGGAACUGACCAUGUCCAGUAAUUCUAUUGCAUACAGACCACUGAAGCGUUUGGUUAUUUGCCAGCGUUUCACGUCUGAAGGUUAAUUUUGUCACAACAGAUCACUUAAUCGUGACUAUUGUGGUGCUUAAAAUCCAAUCCACUAGCCGUCCAUGGAAUCGGUACAGUCCUUAUUAUGUGUGCGAAAGCAGGUGGUGAACAUCCCAUCUUUUAUCGUACGUCUGGACUCACAGAAGCACAUUGACUUCUCCCUGAAGUCGCCAUUCGGCGGUGGCCGACCUGGUCGCGUAAAGAGGAAGAAUAUGCGCAAAGGAACUGGUACCGCUGCCCAAGAAGAGGAAGAAGAUUAAAAUGUAAAUCUUCAAUUUUCUUCAAUAAAUUCGCAGUUCGACUUU